rnacentral:rRNA from 1 species
ACGGAAGGCAGCAGCUAAGAAUAUUCCGCAAUGGACGAAAGUCUGACGGAGCGACGCCGCGUGGAUGAUGAAGGCCGGAAGGUUGUAAAAUCCUUUUAUAACUGAGGAAUAAGUAUUAUCAGAGAAAGGUAGUAUGGUGAGUGUAGGUUAUGAAUAAGCAACGGCUAAUUACGUGCGAGCGGCCGCGGUAACACGUAAGUUGCGAGCGUUGUUCGGAAUUAUUGGGCGUAAAGGGCAUGUAGGCGGUUUUGCAAGCUUGGUGUGAAAUCCCGGAGCUCAACUCCGUAAUUGCGUUGAGAACUGCAUAACUAGAGUCACUGAGGGGCAAUCAGAAUUCCAGGUGUAGGGGUGAAAUCUGUAGAUAUCUGGAAGAAUACCAAUGGCGAAGGCAGGUUACCAGCAGAUGACUGACGCUGAGGUGCGAAGGUGCGGGGAGCAAACAGGAUUAGAUACCCUGGUA